AACGAUUCGACCCCAGAAUCUGUCUAUCCGUCCGUCCCGUAUAAGCUGUAACUUGUAGUAUAAUUUAAGGGGCUAUACCAGUGUGACGCAUGAAAAAUUAGGCGAUUUUCGUGAAUUUUUUUAAGAGAAAGUACCUGAUUAAAUAUUUCGAACUUCUUUGAAUAUAAUAAGAGAAUUAACGCAUUUUCAACACAUCCAUUGUAUAGGCCAAGGGAGGUGGUUAUUGUCCUAUUUCACUCAUACCCACACUAUUUGAUGAAGCGAAAUAAAUGUUUCCAGCAGUUAAAGACGCUGAAAUUUGUACUAUGGUUCUUAAGAGAUUUUGUGGAGGUAAACAGCAUUACAUGAAGUACAUCGAAUUGAAGGGAUACUAAAUUAAAUGUAUGAACUCCAACUGUUUUUAAGACAGAUUCCUACCAAUAGUUCAUCAACAUUGUGUUGAAUUCCACUGGAUGUCUCUAUAAAUUUUGCAUCGUGUGAAGCAGCUAACGCUUUUCCUUCUACCGACGAAACGAGAGAAAAUCAAGAUUUAUUGCAUAAUAUAUUCGGAAAUCAGCGCAGAUUACUCCAUUAAGAGACCCUGAUUUCUUCUGAUGCUAGUUACCUAAGUUUUAUGGAGAGCAUGUAUGUAGCGAGCGUGUUUUUCUUUGCGCCAGGCAACAUAACAAGCAAGGAAGGCUAAGUUUAGGUUUAACAGAAAAUUUUAUACUCUUGCAACUUGCAGGGAUCAAAUAAUAACAUUUGGCAUAAU